rnacentral:rRNA from 1 species
AGUGAACGCUGGCGGUAGGCCUAACACAUGCAAGUCGAACGGCAGCACAGUAAGAGCUUGCUCUUACGGGUGGCGAGUGGCGGACGGGUGAGGAAUACAUCGGAAUCUACUUUUUCGUGGGGGAUAACGUAGGGAAACUUACGCUAAUACCGCAUACGUCCUACGGGUGAAAGCAGGGGAUCUUCGGACCUUGCGCGAUUGAAUGAGCCGAUGUCGGAUUAGCUAGUUGGCGGGGUAAAGGCCCACCAAGGCGACGAUCCGUAGCUAGUCUGAGAGGAUGAUCAGCCACACUGGAACUGAGACACGGUCCAGACUCCUACGGGAGGCAGCAGUGGGGAAUAUUGGACAAUGGGCGCAAGCCUGAUCCAGCCAUACCGCGUGGGUGAAGAAGGCCUUCGGGUUGUAAAGCCCUUUUGUUGGGAAAGAAAAGCAGCAGGUUAAUACCCCGCUGUUCUGACGGUACCCAAAGAAUAAGCACCGGCUAACUUCGUG